GACGAACGCUGGCGGCGUGCUUAACACAUGCAAGUCGAACGAAGUGGCGAACGGGUGAGUAACGUGUAAUCAACCUGCCCUUCAGAGGGGGAAAACAGUUGGAAACGACUGCUAAUACCGCAUACUGAAGGAGGGGAUUGCGUUUGAUUAGCUAGUUGGAGGGGUAACGGCCCACCAAGGCGAUGAUCAGUAGGCGGGCUGCGCGGAUGAACGGCCACAUUGGGACUGAGACACGGCCCAGACUCCUACGGGAGGCAGCAGUGGGGAAUCUUCCGCAAUGGGCGAAAGUCUGACGGAGCAACGCCGCGGGGGUGAUGGCGGCCUUCGGGUUGUAAAGCUCUGUUAAGCGGGACGCGGUACCGGAAUAGAAAGCCACGGCUAACUACGUGCCAGCAGCCGCGGUAAUAC
rnacentral:rRNA from 1 species